CGGUUUUCACCUGGGCUGGGUUGUUGCGCAUUCUGCGACAAGGAGCUGCCAGCAAACCUGGUCCAGCUCCAUCAGCCUCUCGCCCCCAGACCCCGGGCCUGCCUGAUGCCUCGUGGGAGUCCCCUCUGUGUGGGAGAUGUAGCCCCUAAGAAUACCCUGAGCCUCUUGGACAGAAUGGCUGAAAAGAAUGGGAAAAGAGAGUCAUAUUUCCCUCAAUGAGCCAGCCUGCCUGAUGGAUUAUUGCUGUGAUGCAAUGAACAGUAAAGCAGCCCCUUGUGUCCUAGAUCAGAUGGAAAUGCUCUGUGGCCCUUUCGAUGCUGAUGGUGUCUUUGAAACCAGCAGGGUAAGUCAUGUCUGUGUGGAUCUUGCUAUCAAUCUUGAUAAACUGCUGCAUGCAGAUAUUCUUAACCUUUAUUUCUAUCAGGGCAUAGCUGAAUUGUUUGCAGAGGAAGAUGAUGAGUGAGAGGCAUUCUCUCAGCUUUUUGGGAAACUGUGAAUGGUCUUGGAUAAAACAUGCCAAUCAACUUGUCCAGCAUCUAGUGCUUGGGGGGCCCAAGUAUUCCUCUAUUUAUCACAUUUAUCUUUGCUUAUAGCACAGUAGUAUUUUAUUAUACUCAUAUAGCAUGAUUCUUUUGUUCAUUCCUCAAUUCAUGGUAAUCUACUUUGUUUCCAAUUCUUUGCUGUCCCCAAAAGUGAUGCUGUAAUUAUUUUGGUGUGUAACAAUUUUUCUUAUUAUCAAUGGCCUCCUCAAGGUAUAAGCCCAGUAAUAAAAUAUCUAAGUCAAAGGGUAUGAACA
rnacentral:lncRNA from 1 species